AACAAACGCUGGCGGCGUGCCUAAUACAUGCAAGUCGAACGGGGAAAGCUUUCGGGUGAGUACUAGUGGCGCACGGGUGAGGAACGCGUGGAUAAUCUGCCUUAGAGUGGGGGAUAACUAGUCGAAAGAUUAGCUAAUACCGCAUAAGACCACAGGAGCUACGGCUAAAGGGGUCAAAGGUUUUUCGCUCUAAGAUCAGUCCGCGUAAGAUUAGCUAGUUGGUGAGGUAACGGCUCACCAAGGCGACGCUCUUUAACUGGUCUGAGAGGAUGAUCAGUCACACUGGAACUGAGACACGGUCCAGACUCCUACGGGAGGCAGCAGUAGGGAAUAUUGCACAAUGGAGGAAACUCUGAUGCAGCGACGCCGCGUGAGUGAUGAAGGCCUUCGGGUCGUAAAGCUCUGUCGCAGGGGAAUAACACAAUGAAGGUACCCUGUAAGAAAGGAUCGGCUAACUUCGUGCCAGCAGCCGCCGUAACAC
rnacentral:rRNA from 1 species